UACGGAGGAUGCAAGCGUUAUCCGGAAUGAUUGGGCGUAAAGCGUCCGCAGGUGGCUGUGUAAGUCUGCUGUUAAAUAGUGAGGCUCAACCUCAUAAAGGCAGUGGAAACUACACGGCUAGAGUGCGUUCGGGGCAGAGGGAAUUCCUGGUGUAGCGGUGAAAUGCGUAGAGAUCAGGAAGAACACCGGUGGCGAAGGCGCUCUGCUAGGCCGCAACUGACACUGAGGGACGAAAGCGUGGGGAGCGAACAGG
rnacentral:rRNA from 1 species